AUUGAACGCUGGCGGCAGGCCUAACACAUGCAAGUCGAGCGGAUGAAGGGAGCUUGCUCCUGGAUUCAGCGGCGGACGGGUGAGUAAUGCCUAGGAAUCUGCCUGGUAGUGGGGGAUAACGUCCGGAAACGGGCGCUAAUACCGCAUACGUCCUGAGGGAGAAAGUGGGGGAUCUUCGGACCUCACGCUAUCAGAUGAGCCUAGGUCGGAUUAGCUAGUUGGUGGGGUAAAGGCCUACCAAGGCGACGAUCCGUAACUGGUCUGAGAGGAUGAUCAGUCACACUUGAGCUGAGACACGGUCCAGACUCCUACGGGAGGCAGCAGUGGGGAAUAUUGGACAAUGGGCGAAAGCCUGAUCCAGCCAUGCCGCGUGUGUGAAGAAGGUCUUCGGAUUGUAAAGCACUUUAAGUUGGGAGGAAGGGCAGUAAGUUAAUCCCUUGCUGUUUUGACGUUACCAACAGAAUAAGCACCGGCUAACUUCGU
rnacentral:rRNA from 1 species